AUUGAACGCUGGCGGCAUGCCUUACACAUGCAAGUCGAACGGUAACAGGUCUUCGGAUGCUGACGAGUGGCGAACGGGUGAGUAAUACAUCGGAACGUGCCCGAUCGUGGGGGAUAACGAGGCGAAAGCUUUGCUAAUACCGCAUACGAUCUACGGAUGAAAGCGGGGGAUCUUCGGACCUCGCGCGGACGGAGCGGCCGAUGGCAGAUUAGGUAGCUGGUGGGAUAAAAGCUUACCAAGCCGACGAUCUGUAGCUGGUCUGAGAGGAUGAUCAGCCACACUGGGACUGAGACACGGCCCAGACUCCUACGGGAGGCAGCAGUGGGGAAUUUUGGACAAUGGGCGAAAGCCUGAUCCAGCCAUGCCGCGUGCAGGAUGAAGGCCUUUGGGUUGUAAACUGCUUUUGUACGGAACGAAAAGCCUCUUUCUAAUAAAGAGGGGUCAUGACGGUACCGUAAGAAUAAGCACCGGCUAACUACGUG
rnacentral:rRNA from 1 species